rnacentral:lncRNA from 1 species
UCUUGCGAAACUUUCAUACCUCUCAGAGUGACUUCUGCUCCAACGCAAGUGCUCCUGCUCCAUCUCUGUCUCCUUCUCACACUCUCCAAACCUGUCACACUCCCUAUCCCUCUCCUUAUCCCUUUCCCUAUCAUGAUCCCUCUCCUUCCCAUUCCUCUCAUCCUGCUCCCUAUCUCGAUGAUCUCUCCUACUCCUAUGCC